AGACCCUCAUCAGAAUCAGAGAUGUUUGUGAUCAGCAGGUCAUAGGAAUGAGAAGAAAAGUUCCUCAAAAAUUGAAAACGAGGGAAAAA